rnacentral:rRNA from 1 species
UACGGAAGGCAGCAGUGGGGAAUAUUGCACAAUGGGCGCAAGCCUGAUGCAGCCAUGCCGCGUGUAUGAAGAAGGCCUUCGGGUUGUAAAGUACUUUCAGUCGUGAGGAAGGUGUUAAGGUUAAUAACCUUAGCAAUUGACGUUAGCGACAGAAGAAGCACCGGCUAACUCCGUGCCAGCAGCCGCGGUAAUACGGAGGGUGCGAGCGUUAAUCGGAAUUACUGGGCGUAAAGGGCACGCAGGCGGUUAAUUAAGUUGGAUGUGAAAUCCCCGGGCUUAACCUGGGAAUGGCAUUCAAGACUGGUUAGCUAGAGUCUUGUAGAGGGGGUAGAAUUCCGAUGUGUAGCGGUGAAAUGCGUAGAGAUGUGGAGGAAUACCGGUGGCGAACGGCGGCCCCUGGACAAAGACUGACGCUCAUGUGCGAAAGCGUGGGGAGCAAACGAGGGAUUAGAUA